rnacentral:rRNA from 1 species
GAUGAACGCUGGCGGCGUGCUUAACACAUGCAAGUCGAACGGAAAGGCUCCUGCUUGCAGGGGUACUCGAUUGGCGAACGGGUGAGUAACACGUGGGUGAUCUGCCCUGCACUUCGUGAUAAGCCUUGGAAACUGGGUCUAAUAUCGGAUAUGACGUUGUUUUGGAUGCCAUUGUGGAAAGUUUUUCGGUGUGGGAUUGGCUGGAGGCUUAUCACCUUGUUGGUGGGGUAAUGGCUUACCAAGGCGUCGACGGGUAGCCGGCCUGGGAGGUUGGACGGCCAAAUGGGGACUAAGAGAGGCAGCAGAAUCGAAUGGGAGGCAAUGGGGGGAAGAAUGACAGAAUGGGGGCACGCGAGAGACGGAGACGCCGGGAGGGGAAUAACGGCCUACGGGGGGAGAACACAUUUCGAAGGAAACGAGGAGAAAGUGACGGUACCUGAAGAGAAAGCACCGGCUAACUACGUG